UCUUGCACAAUGGGCGAAAGCCUGACGCAGCGACGCCGCGUGUGCGAUGAAGGUCUUCGGAUCGUAAAGCACUGUCGCGAGGGAAGAACGCCCGCAAGGGCUUGACGGUACCUCGAGAGGAAGCACCGGCUAACUCUGUGCCAGCAGCCGCGGUAAUACAGAGGGUGCGAGCGUUGUUCGGAAUUAUUGGGCGUAAAGCGCAUGUAGGCGGCCUGUUAAGUCACGUGUGAAAGCCCCAGGCUCAACCUGGGAAGUGCGCGUGAAACUGGCGGGCUUGAAUCCUGGAGAGGGUGGCGGAAUUCCCGGUGUAGAGGUGAAAUUCGUAGAUAUCGGGAGGAACACCAGAGGCGAAGGCGGCCACCUGGACAGAGAUUGACGCUGAGACGCGAAAGCGUGGGGAGCAAAC
rnacentral:rRNA from 1 species